CUCCGGAAGUGCGGCACCCAGAGGCGGUCCUGUAGCCGGGCCGGCUUGGGGCUUGGUUCUAUGUCCCUGCGGGUCGGUGCAAGGGCGAAGAGGAACCCGUGGGCCUCAGGGGAUCCCGGGGGGCCGGACCAGUGUUCCCUAGUUGUGGGAGCAGACGCGUGGGCACAUUGCGGGCGGGCAGGGCCUGAAGUGCAGUCCUCCUGGGUCGCAUUUACAGAAGUUUAUACGAGACCUAGUUUCCAGGGAAGAACUCACUGAUUCCGCGAGGGAGAUGGCUUAAUGGAUGAUGGUCGUCAGCCUUAAGGAUACUUCAGUCUUAACUGUGUGUUACAAAGUUUGAAAGGGAGGGUUCCCUAUGAAUAAGAAGCACACUUGAAAGAACAGCCAUCUGGUCUAACCUCUCACUGGUGCUUCAGAGGAGGAAAAAAGGUCACAGCUAUGUUUCCAGUGUCCUCUGGGUGUUUCCAAGAGCAACAAGAAAUGAAUAAAUCUCUGUUGAAGAGAUACCAUUUGACAUUUUAGAGAUGGCUGCAUGCAAACUCUUGAAACAUUUGAGCAAUGACUAUGUAUGUACUACAAUGUAAACAGCACCUCCUGGAUUGAAUAGUACAUAACUGACAUGACCAGCAGAGACAGGCUAAAGACACUGAGCUGAAAACCCUGGACUCUAUUGCUAAAUCAAGGCUCCUGAAUCCGUUCCCUCUGAGCAACUGUUGCUGUGGUGCUGCCUUCACAAGCACUCUGCUGAGCACACAGAUUGAGGGGCUGUGCUAUCCGUCAUCGGACAAGCUGCACCCAGAACUGUUCAGCUGACAAACUGGUAGCAGUCCAGAAACACAGUUCUGCUGCAUAGUGAAAAAAGGCCAAUUUACAUUAUUUUUCAUAGAGAGAAAAACAUAAACAUGUGAUUGAACGAGUCUCCUGUAUUAGACUAAUUGGGUUGGCUUUGAUAUUUAAUUGCUAAAAACACACUUAGAAUACAAACCUUACUGUGUCAAGGUCUCAAAGAAGAAAUAAUUGGUAUGGUAUAAAGUAUUGAAUUGUAUGCUACAAACUUCUAAGCUAAAAUAUUUUCAAUGUAUGCAAGGAUAGGUGGCAUACAUAUUAUAUAUUAUUCCCCCAUUAAGCAAAUUUAUAAUGAGAGAAAACUAUCUUCCAUAAAAAAAUAAAAGCCAUGUAAAAUUAAGAACUAAGUUUUUCUGCACAGACUAGACAACGAUUGCUAACACAUGAGGUCAAUGAGAGAACACUCAGAGAAAGCUUCAUGAAAACAAUAAAUUGUCUGCCACGUCUGAGUGAAUGAGGCUAGAUGAAUAGAAACUGAGAAGGCAGAAAGGAUAGCAUGAGCAAGACAAGUGCUGAAAUCUGCCCAAUUAACUCUGAGGAUAAAGUCCAAUGGCAGAGAAAUAAAAACGCUUGUCCACAUAAUAACCUGUAAGUGAAUGUUCGCAGCAGCAUUUUUCAUAAGAGCUAAACAGUGGAAACUAACCUAAAGGUCCAUCAACCGAUGAAUGAAUGGAAAACCAGUAUAGACAUGGAAUAGAAUAUCACUUAACUAUAAGAAGAAAUAAACUACCAAUGUGUGCUAAAACAUUAUGCUAAGUGAAUUCUGAAAACAUUAUGCUAAGUGAAAAAGCCAGUCACAAAGGACUACGUAUUGUAUAAUUCUAUGUAUAUGAAAUAAGCAGAACAGGUAAACAUAUGGAGACAAAAGUAGAUAGAUGGUGGUUGCCUACAACAGAGGUAGGUGGAGGGACAUGGAGGAAGGCUGCAGUCAUGCCUAGGAGAUGUGGGGUUGCUUUUCAGGUGAUGAAAAUGCUGUGAAUAUACUAAUAGAUACUCAGUUGUACAUUUUAAAUGGUUGAACUCUCUCAAAUGUGAAUGAUAUCUCAGUGAAACUGUCUUUAAAAUCCAAAGGCAGGAUCAAGAUAAUUUUCUCAACUCUCAAUUUUUGAUGUACAUGUUAUCUCAAAUUUAAAUAUUUCCACAGUUUUAUAGUAUAUUUUAAAUAAAAGAUAAAGAAAAUGCCUAACUUUUCAAAUAGUUUGUAAAUUAACCUAAAACAUGCACUUUUAAAAGAAUAGUAUAAUGGCCUUUCUGUACAAGUUAACCUAGAAUCUGUGAAAUAAAUAGACACAGAUUCUGUGUCCACUCACAAAAGUGAAGAAAUAAGACAAUUUUCUGGAACAUUCCAUGAAACAUUCUUCUCUGAUUUAAUCUGGCCUGCCUCAUCAGAGCAAUACAAAAAUUACUUAAAAAUACUGUUUUAACAGGACAAAAGUCAGUUUUCUAUGAGGAAUGAUGUAUAAUUCUCAACUUUUU